AUGAACGCUGACAGAAUGCUUAACACAUGCAAGUCAACUUGAAUUUGGGUUUUUAACUUAGAUUUGGGUGGCGGACGGGUGAGUAACGCGUAAAGAACUUGCCUCACAGCUAGGGACAACAUUUAGAAAUGAAUGCUAAUACCUGAUAUUAUGAUUUUAAGGCAUCUUAGAAUUAUGAAAGCUAUAAGCACUGUGAGAGAGCUUUGCGUCCCAUUAGCUAGUUGGAGAGGUAACAGCUCACCAAGGCGAUGAUGGGUAGCCGGCCUGAGAGGGUGAACGGCCACAAGGGGACUGAGACACGGCCCUUACUCCUACGGGAGGCAGCAGUGGGGAAUAUUGGACAAUGGACCGAGAGUCUGAUCCAGCAAUUCUGUGUGCACGAUGAAUUUUUUUCGGAACGUUUAGUGCUUUCAGUUGGGAAGAAAUAAAUGACGGUACCAACAGAAGAAGUGACGGCUAAAUACGUGCCAGCAGCCGCGGUGAUACGUAUGUCACGAGCGUUAUCCGGAUUUAUUGGGGUGAAGCGUGUCUAGGUUUGUUUGUAAGUCUGAUGUGAAAAUGCAGGGCUCAACUCUGUGUUGCGUUGGAAAUUGUGUUUUUAGAGUUCUGGAGAGGGAAGCGGAACUACAGUGUGGAUGUGUAAAUCUGUGUUUUUGUUGGAUGCUGAGGGGAAUCCUGCUUGCUGGACUGUGCUGACGCUGUGGGUAGAUGGCGUGUGCGAUGUGACGUGUAUGAGUGUGCCAGGUUGGCCAAUGAAGUAAUUGGAGACGGAUUGUGAUUGUUUGUGGAUUGCGUGGCCGGUAGUGUGCGGCUGUGUGACUAAAAAAUAAAGUGCCUGUAUAUUGAUGAUAUGAUAGUGUGUGUGCGCUGCAAUGCGCGUAGCGUGUGUGUGUGUGUGUGAUUGAUGGUGAUAUGUCAUGGCUGUGCCAGCUGUGCUCCCCGCCCUUCUUGUACUG
rnacentral:rRNA from 1 species